rnacentral:rRNA from 1 species
AGAGUUUGAUCCUGGCUCAGAAUCAACGCUGGCGGCGUGCCUAACACAUGCAAGUCGAACGCGACUGAGGGCUUCGGCUCUCGGUUGAGUGGCGAACGGGUGAGUAACACGUGGGUGACCUACCUUCGAGUGGGGGAUAACGUCCCGAAAGGGACGCUAAUACCGCAUAACAUCCCGCCUUUGAACAGGCGGACAUCAAAGCCGGGGAUCGCAAGACCUGGCGCUUGAAGAGGGGCCCGCGUCCGAUUAGCUAGUUGGUGGGGUAAUGGCUCACCAAGGCAACGAUCGGUAGCCGGCCUGAGAGGGCGGACGGCCACACUGGGACUGAGACACGGCCCAGACUCCUACGGGAGGCAGCAGUGGGGAAUUGUUCGCAAUGGGCGCAAGCCUGACGACGCAACGCCGCGUGGAGGAUGAAGGUCUUCGGAUUGUAAACUCCUGUUGCCCGGGACGAAUGGCUCCAACCUAACACGUUGGAGUGUGACGGUACCGGGUGAGGAAGCCCCGGCUAACUCUGUGCCAGCAGCCGCGGUAAUACAGAGGGGGCGAGCGUUGUUCGGAAUUACUGGGCGUAAAGGGCGCGUAGGCGGCCUGCUAAGUCGAACGUGAAAUCCCCGGGCUCAACCCGGGAACUGCGUCCGAGACUGGUUGGCUUGAAUCCGGGAGAGGGAUGUGGAAUUCCAGGUGUAGCGGUGAAAUGCGUAGAUAUCUGGAGGAACAUCGGUGGCGAAAGCGGCAUCCUGGACCGGUAUUGACGCUGAGGCGCGAAAGCCAGGGAGCAAACGGGAUUAGAUACCCCGGUAGUCCUGGGCCCUAAACGAUGAAUGCUUGGUGUGNGGGUAUCGAUCCCUGCCGUGCCGAAGCUAACGCAUUNAGCAUUCCGCCU